GAUAAAAAUGAGAAAAAAUAUAUUUAAAAUAAAGGAAAGUGGGGAAAAAUGAGAUAAAAACGAGGAAAAAAAGCAAUAUGAUGAGGAAAAAGUGAUGGAAAAUGAGGAAAAACAUGACGGGAAAUGGGGAGAAAUGAGAAAAAAUAGGGUAUAAUGUGGAAAAAAUGAGAUAAAAGAGGGGGAAAUGAGGAAAAAAGUCAGGAAAAGGAGCAACAAAUGAGGGAAAAUGAGAAAAAAUGAGAUAAAUUGGGACAUGAGGAAAAAAAUGAGGAUAAAAUGGGAUAAAAAGGAGGAAAAAAGUGAUAUAGCCAGAAAAAAAAAAGACGUAAAAUGAGACAUAACGAGGAAAAAAAAGGGGGGAAUUAGGAAGAAACUGGGAAAAAGAAAAAAAUGAGAAAAAAGGAGGGAAAAUGAGGGGAAAAUGUAAAAAAAAAAAAGAGAAAAUAUAAGGGAAAAUGAGGAAAAAUGGGAUAUAAUGAGGAAAAAAGAUAAAAAAAUGAGAUAUCAUGAGAAAAAAAGAGAUAUAAUGAGGAAAAAAUGAGAUAAAAUGAGUCCCACCGAGCAGGGAAAAAGAAAAAGGUGGCAAAAAAUGGGAAAAAAACCGUUUUUUCCCCUUUUUACCUUAUUUUAGGGUAAAAUUGGUGCCAGAAAAUUUGGGAAAAGGUGGAUUUUUGCCCCCACCCACCUCCCCCCCCCCGNNNNNNNNNNNNNNNNNNNNNNNNNNNNNCCCCCCCCGAUGCCCGUUUAAGGAACCUCCAACCCCCCUUUUUUUACCCUCUUUGGAAUCUAAUCCUCCCUAAAAUUAGCCCCCGGGGCCGGUUCCCGGGCGGUGCCGGGGAUCAAUUUUCCCAAAACCUGCCAAAAUCUCCCCAAGGACAAAGGCCCCAAAAGCGUUUUUUACAGAAAAUCAACCCGGGGAUUUGGUCGAGGACCCUCUUGGAGGCGGCUCCGUUCGGGGGAAUCCGUCGGGAAUGGAGCCGGGUACGGGAAAAUCCACUGCUUUUUAUUAUCAUCAUGAUUAUUAUUAUUUAUGUUUAUCAUUAUUAUUUCUAUUUAUUUUUAUUAAUAUUUUUUUCCCUUUAUUUU
rnacentral:lncRNA from 1 species